rnacentral:lncRNA from 1 species
GCGCCCUCCAAAAGCCAGGUGUCUGUUGGAGGUGAGGGGCAGGCAGGGUGUUAAGGCAGGGGACCACCGACUCAGACAACUUGAGGUCUGCCCCACGCCAGCCCCAUCUCUCCAGGCGGGCAGACACAUGUUGCUCUUCAGCCACCUCAAGUCGGCUUCGAGUUUUGGCUUUAGAAUGUGGUAGCUGUAACAUUGUUGGUGGGGAGGAGUGGCAGAAGAACCA